AGCAGCCGCGGUAAUUCCAGCUCCAAUAGCGUAUAUUAAAGUUGCUGCAGUUAAAAAGCUCGUAGUUGAAUUUCGGGAUCAAUAUGUUGGUCGUGCCUCGGUACGUACUAGCUUAUUGGUUUCUCCCUUCUGACGAACCAUGAUGUCAUUUAUUUGGUGUUAUGGGAAACUAGGACUGUUACUUUGAAAAAAUUAGAGUGUUUAAAGCAGGCUCACGCUUGAAUACAUUAGCAUGGAAUAAUGAAAUAGGACGUUUGAUUCUAUUUUGUUGGUUUCUAGGAUCGACGUAAUGAUUAAUAGGGAUAGUUGGGGGCAUUAGUAUUCAAUUGUCAGAGGUGAAAUUCUUGGAUUUAUUGAAGACUAACUACUGCGAAAGCAUUUGCCAAGGAUGUUUUCAUUAAUCAAGAACGAAAGUUAGGGGAUCGAAGACGAUCAGAUACCGUCGUAGUCUUAACCAUAAACUAUGCCGACUAGGGAUCGGAUGAUGUUAAUUUUUAAUGACUCAUUCGGCGCCUUAAC
rnacentral:rRNA from 1 species